GGGGGAUAGCCCGGCGAAAGCCGGAUUAAUACCGCAUACGCUCUACGGAGGAAAGGGGGGGAUCUUAGGACCUCCCGCUACAGGGGCGGCCGAUGGCAGAUUAGCUAGUUGGUGGGGUAAAGGCCUACCAAGGCGACGAUCUGUAGCUGGUCUGAGAGGACGACCAGCCACACUGGGACUGAGACACGGCCCAGACUCCUACGGGAGGCAGCAGUGGGGAAUUUUGGACAAUGGGGGCAACCCUGAUCCAGCAAUGCCGCGUGUGUGAAGAAGGCCUUCGGGUUGUAAAGCACUUUUGUCCGGAAAGAAAACGCCGUGGUUAAUACCCGUGGCGGAUGACGGUACCGGAAGAAUAAGCACCGGCUAACUACGUGCCAGCAGCCGCGGUAAUACGUAGGGUGCAAGCGUUAAUCGGAAUUACUGGGCGUAAAGCGUGCGCAGGCGGUCCGCUAAGACAGAUGUGAAAUCCCCGGGCUUAACCUGGGAACUGCAUUUGUGACUGGCGGGCUAGAGUAUGGCAGAGGGGGGUAGAAUUCCACGUGUAGCAGUGAAAUGCGUAGAGAUGUGGAGGAAUACCGAUGGCGAAGGCAGCCCCCUGGGCCAAUACUGACGCUCAUGCACGAAAGCGUGG
rnacentral:rRNA from 1 species